GGNNACCAUUACCGUCAGUUUGGCUGGAUCGGAGACAGGUGCUGCAUGGCUGUCGUCAGCUCGUGUCGUGAGAUGUUGGGUUAAAUCCCGCAACGAGCGCAACCCUCGCUCUUAGUUGCCAUCAUUCAGUUGGGCACUCUAAGGGGACUGCCGGUGAUAAGCUGGAGGAAGGUGGGGAUGACGUCAAGUCCUCAUGGCCCUUACGGGCUGGGCUACACACGUGCUACAAUGGUGGUGACAGUGGGCAGCGAGACCGCGAGGUUGAGCUAAUCUCCAAAAACCAUCUCAGUUCGGAUUGCACUCUGCAACUCGGGUGCAUGAAGUUGGAAUCGCUAGUAAUCGUGGAUCAGCAUGCCACGGUGAAUACGUUCCCGGGCCUUGUACACACCGCCCGUCACACCAUGGGAGUUGGCUUUACCCGAAGGUGCUGUGUAACCGCAAG
rnacentral:rRNA from 2 species